UACGAAGGGGGCUAGCGUUGCUCGGAAUGACUGGGCGUAAAGGGCGCGUAGGCGGCUUGCACCGUCAGAUGUGAAAUUCCUGGGCUUAACCUGGGGGCUGCAUUUGAUACGUGUGGGCUUGAGUGCGGAAGAGGGUCGUGGAAUUCCCAGUGUAGAGGUGAAAUUCGUAGAUAUUGGGAAGAACACCGGUGGCGAAGGCGGCGACCUGGUCCGUGACUGACGCUGAGGCGCGAAAGCGUGGGUAGCAAACAGG
rnacentral:rRNA from 1 species